UGAACCCAUGGCUGUGGGCUGUGCUGUCAUAGUCAGGCCUGAAAGGACUUGCUGAGCAUGACAGUCAAGUGGAAGAGGAUCUUGCAAUUGCAAUUGUCCCUGAGGGGCCCUCGUCCUUGCCACGUUGGUUCUUGCUCAGGCUGCUGGGGCUGAGGCCUGAGGUCUGGGAUGGGGGGAGAGCCUUCAGUACGCAGGCUGCCCUCCUAUCAGAACAGCUUGCACCAGUGUUUGUCAUCUCCUGCUAUCUUACGAGCGAACAGCCAUGUUGUAAAUGGCCUCUGAGGAGGACUGGCCUCUAGGAGUUGAGGACCUCAAUCCGACAUCUGCAAGGGAUUGAAUCGUGCCAAGAACCCGAAUAAACUCUGAAGAUGAGAACGCAGCCCUGUUGGUUGAAUUCAUGCAUGUGGAACCCAUGGAUGUGAAGGACCAACUGUACUUUGCACCAGUGGUUCUCAGUGUGGGCCCUGGACCAGCGGCAGCAGCAUCACCUGGGAACUUGUGAGAAAUGCGCAUUUCAGCCCCUGUUUCAGAUGGACCUAUCAGAAUCUCUGGAGGGAGGCUGUGAGGAUCUAGAGGAUACAGCCAUGGAGAACAUGCUGGCUUCCUUAAGCUGCUAAGCAUUGAAGUCCCACCAAUGGUGGUGAGGGUUUAAGGAGAACGUUGCAAUUGCACAGUCAAAAUGAUCCUUGGAAAUUCUUUAGAAGGGUGCCAUCUUGGAGACCCACAGUCAAUAAAACCAGCCCGGCUGGGAGUUUUCUCCAGCAUUUGAAUAACUUGUUUCUUUGGUUGAACCAUGAUGAGAUAAUUGGCUUAAACCAGGAGUCAUGCAUGGUGUCUGGAAACUGCCUCACUUGAAACACCAGCCUCACGCUCCGCAUGCAUAAUCCUCUCAUCACGAGAGGCACACGGGAAACGAGCCAGCCCGUCUGGAAAGGAAGCAAAUGCAUGCCUUCCAUCUCCCGCUCCGUACCGGGCAUAUCCUCCUGGAGGAGCAGAAAUGCCAGCACCACUUAAAUGAUGUUUCUCUCUGCCCUGUACUUGCUGGAGGCACAUGCCCAUAUCAUGUAGAGUGUCAGGGCAGAGAGCUCUUGGGAAGAGCUGAGCUGUGGGGACCUCCUCCCACGCAGAAGAGGGAGGCCUCUGCAGAAUUCUCUGCCAUGUGCUUCUAGGCUUCCUCAACUCAGAAAUUUUAUUAUAGCGUUUUAGAAUGUGAAGAGCUCUUGGGAAUCAUGAAAGAUGAAGAAUCAAGAUGGAGGUUUGAUGGCUUGUCCCAGGCCCCAGAGUGAGCCCUUUGCUUUUUGGAAUCCAACAGCAAGGACUCAUGGGAAUAUCGUGGGCUUUGACUUGGAGAGACAGGGCUCAAACCUCAUCUUUGUCACUUAGUGAUUGUGUAAUUCUCUAAAAGUCUCCCUAUUUGUAGAAAGGGGAUAAGGGAACUUUUUUCCUGGAUUGCAAGGUGAUUAGAAGAGAUGUAUGUGUAACGGGAU